rnacentral:lncRNA from 1 species
CAAGAUCCAUCCACCAAAAGUCUACAAAUAGAGGGAUACACACCAGAGGAAGCUGAGGGCCGCUGCAAGUCUUCGAGGUUGUCUAGGAGAUGGCUUAGGCUAGACCCAAGCCGCCGUGAUCGUCCCUGCACGGCGAAGCCAUGGUGGAGUUCUGGAGCCGAGCCUUGUGAUCAUCAAGGCUUAUGUACACACGAUGGUGAUAUCAAUAUAAUCUUGUGCGUACUUUGAUCUACUAUGAUGCAUGCUUAUUCUCAUAUGUAUAGCUAGCAUGUGUUCUUAGUAGGAAUAGAUGUAAUUGUGGUGAUUAGGCUAUAUCUUGCGGAUACAUCUUAGUACUACGUAGGAAGUCGGUGUGAUUACCUUCGUGUGGUGACAGCAUGCGGGAAAGGAAAGGUUGAACGAUUGCGUAAUGUUGAGUAGGAUCAAUGGCGAGUAUUGUGGGAGUCAUUUGAGGUAAAGCUUUGGGAAACUGAAGGUGUUAACACGCACCUCGUAAUGGUGACCACAAGAAAGUAAUGGUGACCACAAGAAAGUAGGCCGCUUGCGAGCCGCCUUUCUGAGAGAUGACUCUUUAUCAAGGUGCUACAUAGAUUGGUUACCAUUUUGGCUGGAACUAUAACAAGAAGAUAAUAGACUUAUGCUACAUUUGGUUGUGUUACCUCAUAUAUGGAUAUGAUCUGUUUACCCUAUAUAUAUUACUUAUCUCAUGAUUGGGUUUACCUUUAUAUGCAAUUCAUGCUUCAUGAUAGGAUUAGAUCUAUUUAGCUAGAUAGAGAACCCUAGUCAGUUCGCUGCUGAUCCACGGAUUGAUGAAUCUUGGAUGCAAUACUCUAAUGGAAAAGCUACGAUGAUCCGUGUGCUUGCGGUUCACAACUUGGCAUGUUAACUACAUCAACAGAGGCACAUGGAAAUAGGAGGAAUAUGCAGCGAAUUGAGGGCUAAUUUGUGUGGUCUGAUGAGUGUGCAAAAGAAAGUUUGUUUCAAUCUCCUCUUGUCUCUCCCUAUGAAACUCAUCUAUCUUCUCUUGCAGAGACAUUGGAAUGGGCAUUCUUCGUAAUAUGUAACUGUCACUAGGAAGAUUCGAUUCUUUCUUCUCCUUCUGUAAUAGAUGUACCUGGAUAGAGGAUCCACUCAUAUACUUAGUGCUUACUCUUGAUGUCUUAAAGCAAAACUAAACUAAUAGUUGGUUGAUUUUGACAAAUCAUUAUAUCUCUAUUCUCCACAUCAUAGAAUAGGAUAAAACAUUGCAAGCCAACAUAAAACAAAGAACAAGAUAAAAGAUAUGAUGGAACAAUCACCUAUAGAAAGUACUUGAGACAAUAGUUAGAGAAUGUACCUUAAACGAUUACUACUAUGAAAGCACUAAAUAAUCAGAAAUAUUGGUGAUAGAUGAUAAUGGGUACUAUAUGUAUUGGUUUAUAUAGGAAACCAAGGGGCUCAAAAGUUAUAAGGGAACCUACGUUAACGUUCAAAACAAAUUAUAGAAAAUGAAAAAAAGAAAGACCUUGAUGAUUGUUUAUUUAUUACUUGUCGGUUUCUUCCUGCCCUUUUUAGCCGUGCAUGCAUCUUUUCCACCGUUGUAUUGAGGUGCAUUAGGGGCCUCAUCUUUUUGAACCAUACAUUCUGUAUAUUUUAUGACAAAAACGUUGGAAGUAACCCAAUGUUAUCACGCGUUCAUGUAUGAGCAUACACUUGAUGCUAUCCAUGCACCUUUGCUUUUAUAUCCUAUUAGUGUGUUUGUCAUUUACCAUUUUUUAUUCUUAUCUAUAAAAGGUGCUUGGAUAAAGAUGGAUGGAGUGUCAAACAACUUUGUGGUUCUUAUGGAUGUUACUUGUGUCCUUCCAUAUGACAACUAAGACAAAGUUGGUGUACAAGCCAUGUGUAUGUUUCAUGUGGUCCUACGUGAAGCCAACUUUCGUGCAAGCUAUAAACACUUUCAAAACUACCUUUAGUUGAUUUUUCAUUGCUAGAGUGGGUGUCCAUUUGUGGUGUAAAGGUAUAUCUCUGAUUCAUUGCUUCAUCAUUUUAUCCUUUCCUAGGACUUGUACCUUCUACUUUGUAUACUUGAUUUUUCAUUGUAAUGUUCCUUGACUUGAUAAACAAUGACAUGGCUGGAUAAAUAUGUGGAUCUUAGUUUGU